AUGCAGUGGUGAAGGUUUGACCCGUCACGGAGCAUCCCUGCUUUGCCUUCUCCGCAGGCCAAGGGCGGUCCUGGAGGUAGCACGAGGUGCAGUGGGGGUCACCCCAGCCCCUUGCUCCUCUGAGGUCCUGACCCACCCCUGACCCAGGCGGACACCCACAUGCUUGGUGCAGCCUGAGGCCCCUGGGCCCAGUCUUCGCAUCCACAGCCGGGCCUAAUCUAGGGGCCCCUGUGGGUGUCCUGCGCCCGCCUCAUCUCAGACCGAAUCCCAAGGGGUCCGGGGAAAGGAGGGAGAGGUGGGCGUCGCAGGCUGCUUCCCUUGGGCCUUGGGCGCAAUGGUUAUCACCUGUGCGGAGAGAAGGUGACUUCGGCUGCGACCUCAGCUGCCUCGGCUGUGUGGUGCCCCCUCGGGUCAGGGGCACCCACGGGAGACCGAAACCACCUUCUCCAGCCGCUGGCGCUUCCUUGCCCGCGGGGACUGAGCAGGAGCAGAGAGAGCUGACGUCUGUUCAGCACCCCGUGGGUUCCCAGUCGGGGCGAAUUGGGCUGGGGGCGCUGGGAGGGGGAGGGAGGGAGGUGAGGGAUGGAGGGAUUCGUUUCCGACCUGCUUCUGUCUUCUGUUUUCCAUUCCAGAAAAUACCAGUGCUUUUUGGCAGUUGGGCUCUUACAAAGGUGGAUUUAUAACCAGUCCCCCCUCCUCCCAGAUUUUUCUUAAAGGUGUUGCAGUAUCCCCCACCCACUCACCUUUCUCUAACCUGCUCCUCCUCCCACUUUCCCCGAAAAUGUGAGUGAUCAUGUGUGAGAAGCAGCUUAGCCCAGUGUCUGCAGCAGAGCCGCAACUUGAGUGAGAGGUGAGGAGGCUUCCCUGGACGUUUUGGUGUUUCUCAAGUUACUGGGGUCCCCGUAGCAAAAGUAGCUGGGCUUGGUGGCCAGCAAGACGGGGAGCCCCGGAGCACCCAGGCUGUGUGCACCGCACCCCCGCCAGGAAGCGCUGGCCUCCCAGUGUGUGGGCUCGAGGCCCUUCGGAUGAGCCAGGGGCCAGGAUCAGGCUCCUAAAGCAGCAGAAAAAGCAGACACGUAAUUUCACUCCUUUAUCCUACCUCGCCUCCACCACCACUUUUUUUUUCCUUUUGGUAGACGGACUGUGUAAUAGGCAGGUAGCCCGGAAGCUGGAGCUGCGCUGUAGGAGUUGGGAGCGAUCCCGAGCCGGCACUGCCCUUCUGGAUUUGGGAACCGUCUGGGGGAGGAGGAGGGUCAAAGGGGCAUCCGCUUCUUUUGAACGAGGGCGCGGUUUGCUUCCCGCAGACAGCGGGCGGGGACAGCUCAGUGCGGAGGGCUCCGUGGGAUGUCUCUUGGAGCAGCGCCGAGAGACACGUCCUCCCUUAACCUGGGCAGCGAGGGGGACCAGGGCCGCCGCGGUGAGUGCCCUUAGCGCGCAGCCAGGACGUGGGGCGCUGGGCGCCCGGCGGCCGACACUGGAGGGCAUGGGUGGGCCCCGGGCCAGAGCAGGAGCAGAUGGGAAGGGAAGUUGGCUGUCACCCUCUUGGGAAGCGGGGAAACAGGGCGUAUACACCGUAGCUCAAGGUUCACUCCCUCUUCAGCCAAGUGCCGACACCGUGGUGCGAUCUGCAGAAGCUGGAAGAGGCUCAGGGGCUCUGGUGCCACCGGCCGAGGGUGCGGGGAGAGCUGGGGGCAGUGGCCCCCGGGCAGGGCCCGCAAGACGCCCUUCUGGGCCCCGAACGUGCCCAGGGCUGGGUCUGUCUCCCAGUCACUCUGGGCCUCCUGGACUCGGCACAAAGCAACCCUCAAGCUGACUCGGGGUCUCACAGCCUAAAACAAGAAGGCGAACUAAGGGGGAGUUCGUGGAUUUUCUAACUAAAAGUGAAAAGGAGAAGUUCUCCAUAAUGUGUAAACACUGAAGCUCUGAGCGCACAGCACAGGUUUGGGUGUGUUGCUGGGAACUUGGGGAGCUGCCUCCUCCACCCUCCAUGGUUUGCAAACUUGGAUUCUCAUUGCUUUUCAUUGACUAGCUUCUGACCCCAACAGUAAUCUGAUUCAGAAAUACUCUUCAUUUCGUUAGGCUGACGUUGGCAGGCACUAGUUAUGUUGUAUCUGGUGGGGAAUUUAAGUUCAGUUAAAUUUUAGCAUAAUGCUUUUUGAAAAAGUCUUUUAAAAGAUUUUUUUACUU
rnacentral:lncRNA from 1 species